rnacentral:lncRNA from 1 species
CAGUGCACUUCCUAGGCGAUGCUUCCACUGGCCCCUUGUGCAUUAGUCUCCUGUCUGGAUGGUAAUUACCCCCAUCCAUGCUGGAAUCCUGUGACACCACCACAUCAGAGGGAAGAGGAGAGGCGCUAAUCCCCGAGUGAAUGGAGAGUCUCCAUCUUCAUCUGCCUUGCUUGAUUUCCACAAAUGCCUCGGUCACAGGGAAACUUCAUGUGAUUUCUCAUCAAGGAUGGAACGUGGGAUUCUGAGCAGGACUGCAUUGUUGCCUUCUGGCCUGGGAAGG